UACGAAGGGGGCUAGCGUUGCUCGGAAUCACUGGGCGUAAAGCGCACGUAGGCGGCUUUCUAAGUCAGGGGUGAAAUCCUGGAGCUCAACUCCAGAACUGCCUUUGAUACUGGAGAGCUUGAGUCCGGGAGAGGUGAGUGGAACUCCGAGUGUAGAGGUGAAAUUCGUAGAUAUUCGGAAGAACACCAGUGGCGAAGGCGGCUCACUGGCCCGGUACUGACGCUGAUGUGCGAAAGCGUGGGGAGCAACAGGG
rnacentral:rRNA from 1 species